rnacentral:rRNA from 1 species
UACGUAGGGUGCGAGCGUUAAUCGGAAUUACUGGGCGUAAAGCGUGCGCAGGCGGUUCGUUAAGACAGAUGUGAAAUCCCCGGGCUUAACCUGGGAACUGCAUUUGUGACUGCAUCGCUGGAGUACGGCAGAGGGGGAUGGAAUUCCGCGUGUAGCAGUGAAAUGCGUAGAUAUGCGGAGGAACACCGAUGGCGAAGGCAAUCCCCUGGGCCUGUACUGACGCUCAUGCACGAAAGCGUGGGGAGCAAACAGG